GGUAGAGUAGUGAGUGGUAAUAGAAAGAUACAUUACAUUUAUUUAUAACUAGUUGAAAGACCAUGAUAACCACUCAACCAGGAUGAAGCGGUGGCACAGUGGUUAGCGCACUGCACGACGAACCCAGCGACCUGGUUUUGAUUCCUGCCCACGGCGAACAACAGUGGCGAGUGACAUCUCAUCAGCUCAUUGCGCACCCCUCCUUUCAUCAACCUUGCACUGACCAGUUUGGUGAAGUCUGGCUAAACAAUCCCCUUCGUGGCACGGGCUGUAAAUUAAAGAUGUAGUUUUUUUUUGAGAGCCAAUAAAGACCAAAAUGUGUUUGUGCCAAGGGCGACUUGGGUAAUACUGUUCUAAUAAUGUGACGAUCGCGAGGAUGACAAUGUUGUUGAAUAUCAGAGGCUAACGGGUGUGGGGGGCAAUAAGGGAACACGUCCAUGGAGACAAAGCUGUCAAAUUGAAACAGCAAUUAGUUAUUUUUUACUCUGUUCUAAAGAUUCACAAAUAGCAGUUGCGCACCUUGAUCAUGACAAAUUCCUCAAGACACUGUUGGCAGGGAGAGCCCACGGUUAAUGUUAACUUGUGCUGAGCAAACUCAGGCACUUUCUAUCGCUGAAUACGCAAUGCUGCAGACGCAAAUGGCAGCAGCAGAUAGGGGCCACACUGCACUGAUGCGUCCUGUUCAGGGAGGCUUUCGGUAUAGGGUGGCCUCGUUUGGCCUUUUGUUGCUUAAAAGAAAAAAAAUCCACAAUCUCAGCUCUUGGGCUGGUGGUUAUCAGAAGGAAUACGUGCAGAAUAUGUGCUGUAUGAACGUUGAUCCUCUUUCGCGCCGUACCUAGCCAACCGUGCUCAUCGGUGGUGCGCGAAGACAACACACUAAACACAAAAAGCGGGUCGACAUCAAUGAGUUUUCAAGCUUGAUGAUUUACAAGUGCACAGCUCCAGUAGCUUCCUAAUAUCGGACGGAGGAGCGUUCCAGACGGCUGCAGAAGGGCAUCUGAAAGCGCCAAAAGCUGCCGCGAGGAUGUGCUGGGAUGGUGUUGUCAUCCUGACAUGCAAAGCAUGUCGGGAUUCCUGUUAGCCUUUGCCACUGAAGACACCUCCUCUCGCAUACUGUGCAUUAUCACUGUGAGAAGUAGUCGUGCCGUUCAAGCACACGAUCAAGUGCUUACCGGACACAAUAGCUGUGGUAGAGGCAAUUAAGCUGCUAAACUAAGGGGGCAAUGAUGGAACAAUGAAACCUAAGGGUGCCCUCACGGCGAGCCUCAUACCUUUCACUGCUAAUGGUGCCGGCUAAAGGUACAUAACUGUGGGUGAUUAUGUUUUGGUUUGUAAUCCUACAUUCCGAUCAGCUUAAUUGCAUCAACGCAUUUGAAAAGCAGAGUUCGUUGGUCGCGCAGAGCCUUCGAACACCGUGGUCUCUGCUUUAACAGCACAGCACAAAGACGAUGCAAAUCACAGGGGGGUGCUGCGGAGACGCCGAGGGGAGACGGGAGGGCGAGAUGGAAGGAAAUGAUGCGGUGGAACGAGACACGAGGACGGUGGAUGUGACUAAAGAGACCAAUAGCAAAUGAAGAGUUGGUGCUCCCGCAUUGCCGGAGAGCGAUGGGGAACCUGCCCACCCCUUUGGAGAGGUUGGCGUCUGGACAUGGGACGGCGAGACAGCGGAAGGGUGAUCCGGCACUCCCUGAGAGUAACCCGCUUCUAGACUGCCCUUUGAAGAGACGCCAAGUGGGAGCUGAGCCCCGGUGACCACAGGUGACACGUGUGCUGCCGUUGCCCCCAGUCCCGGCUCAGCCUGGCCUGCUCGGGUGGUCUGACAGCGAAAGGCGUCUUCCAUCUUCAAUUAUGCGCAAGAGGCUCGCGUGGCGUGUGACUUUUGUUUUUCAAUUCUCGUGGACGUAACGCAAAUGAAACGCACGAUUGUUACGUGGUACAUUUACGCGAUCUAACCCCCCCCCGCCCCAAAACCCCCCUCUAUUAUGUAUAAUGUUUGUCGCGAACUCCUAUGUGUUAUAAACUAUGUUCAUAUUUGUUAUGCAGGGGAAUAGAUUUAUUGACACUCCACUGAUUUCUAACAAGCCGUUUCUCUCCACAACAUGUGAUCGGAUCAUCCUGUACAUGAAAACCUUUCAUGUGUUGACGUUUGCUGUUAUGAUGUUUAUCUCUGGGUUGUGAUGUGCCACACUAGAACCUGCUUGGUGUUUAAUAUUUUGCCGUUCAUAAUGUUUCAUUCUGUUUUUUUUUAUUUGUAUGGCUAAAGCUUUUAGCUGUUGUGACAUUUCCUGUUGUGAUUCACGCUCCUUUUAAAAUUGUUCCGCUGUUAAGAUAUUUACCUUCAUGAUGUUUUAGUUAAAUUUUCAGUUGUAUUCUAAAUGAUACUCUUUGGUUCUUUCGGUACAGUCACGUAGGUAAAAAAUAAAAAAUAAAGCUAAUCAAAUCACGACAUUUCGGAGGCAACACAAGCUUCUGUCAUCCUUUAUUUAACCAGUCACGAAAACGUCAAAUCUAGAAGUAUUCUCAAUUACUUUAUGUAACUCAUGCAGGUCACCCUUGAUUAUGAUACGAGACUGGUUAAAUAAAGGAUACGACUAUGCUACUGUGUGACGUUUUAACUCGGCAUACUAAUUUGGCGCAGCCAAAUCUGCUUUCUGCUACUCCAGUGGCUUUUCUUUAGGCCAGAUGUCCCUUGAACAAGACCCUUCUGGUCCUAACGGUCUCUGCAACUGGUCUUAAAUAAAGAAACGUUAUUGCACGUGAUUACA